GGCUGGGGAGUAGUAGUUGAGGUUGGCGACGUUCAAGGGGGAGCUUUUAAGAUUGAGUGCUCCAUACAAUCUGCACAGGAUAAAUUUGAUCACCGGAGAUUUUUCGAUGAAAAAUUUUUUGAUACUUAAAUCAAUCAGAGUUUUGAAAAUAAUGAAAAAGUUUUUUAAUAAAAAAAUAAUUUUUAAAUUUAAAAAAAAAUCUACAGAAGAAUCCUCUAUAUCUCCUUCC
rnacentral:lncRNA from 1 species